AGCGGCGGACGGGUGAGUAAUGCCUUAGGAAUCUGCCUGGUAGUUGGGGGAUAACGUUCGGAAACGGACGCUAAUACCGCAUACGUCCUACGUGGAGAAAGCAGGGGACCUUCGGGCCUUGCGCUAUCAGAUGAGCCUAGGUCGGAUUAGCUAGUUGGUGGGGUAAUGGCUCACCAAGGCGACGAUCCGUAACUGGUCUGAGAGGAUGAUCAGUCACACUGGAACUGAGACACGGUCCAGACUCCUACGGGAGGCAGCAGUGGGGAAUAUUGGACAAUGGGCGAAAGCCUGAUCCAGCCAUGCCGCGUGUGUGAAGAAGGUCUUCGGAUUGUAAAGCACUUUAAGUUGGGAGGAAGGGUUGUAGAUUAAUACUCUGCAAUUUUGACGUUACCGACAGAAUAAGCACCGGCUAACUCUGUGCCAGCAGCCGCGGUAAUACAGAGGGUGCAAGCGUUAAUCGGAAUUACUGGGGCGUAAAGCGCGCGUAGGUGGUUUUGUUAAGUUGGAUGUGAAAUCCCCCGGGCUCAACCCUGGGAACUGCAUUCAAACUGACUGACUA
rnacentral:rRNA from 1 species